AACUUAUAUUUUAUUUUUAUUUUUUGUUUAUUUAUUUUAUUAAAAAUAAUUUUUCUUUUAGUAUUUAUUUAAAAAUUAAUAUAUUUUUAUUAUAGUUUAUUUUACUGUGAAGGUUUAUUUUAUUAUUUUAUAAAAGUAUUUUUUGUUUUAAGUACCUUUUGCAUCAGGGCUUAUUUAUAUAGAAAAAUGAUUUUUUUUUCUCGAAAUUUAAAGGGAUAAAUAUAAAUGAUUUUUUUUGUAAUAAAAAAAUUAUAAAUUUAUUUUUAGAAGCUAUAUGUUAUUCGUUUUAAAUUAUAUCUAGUUUAUUAAUAAAUGAAUUUAAUUCAGGAUUUAAUGGUUUAUUUUUAACUUAUUUAUUUAUAAAUUUUUUAAUCUAAAUAUUUGAGGGAUAAUCUUCAUUUAUUUUUUAAAAGUUCUUUUAUUAUGAUUUUUUGUAGGAUUGAAAAUUUUCAUCAUUUAUUUUGUUAUAAUUAUUUUUUUUGAAAAAAUGAUUUUUUCUUCUUUAAUUUUUUAUUAAUAUUAUAAUUAUAAUUUAUAAUUUUAUUCUAUAAUGAUAAGAUUAGUAAUUUUGAUAAUUUUGUUUUAUGAACUCGGCAAAUUUAAUUUUCACCUGUUUAACAAAAACAUGGUUUUUUGUAAUUUAUAUAAGAUCGGACCUGCCCAUUGAUUUUAAGUAUUAAAAGGCUGCGGUAUUUUAACUGUACUAAGGUAGCAUAAUCAUUUGUCUUUUAAUUGAAGGCUAGUAUGAAUGGUUUGAUGAGAAAUUGACUUUAUUGAAUAAAUAUAUUUGAAUUUAAUUUUUAAAUUAAAAAGUUUAAAUUUUUUUAUAGGACGAGAAGACCCUAUAGAAGUUUAAUUAAUAUAUAAAUAUUUUUUUUGGUUAUUUAAUUUAAUUUUUAGAAUAUUAAUUUUUGUUGGGGAGACAGGAAAAUUUCAUUAACUUUUUCUAUUUUAUGCAUAUAUUUAUGUUUUACUGAUCCAGAAUUUUUGAUUAUAAGUUUAACUUACCUUAGGGAUAACAGCGUUAUUUUUUUGGAGAGUUCAUAUCGAUAAAAAAGUUUGCGACCUCGAUGUUGAAUUAAGAUAAUAUUUAAAUGGAAAAGUUUAAUUUGUUUGGUCUGUUCGACCAUUAAAUUCUUACAUGAUUUGAGUUCAGACCGGCGUGAGCCAGGUCGGUUUCUAUCCUUAUUUUUGUUUUGAGUUAGUACGAAAGGACCACUCAAAUUAAUUAAAUUAUUUUUUUUGAUUAAUAUUA
rnacentral:rRNA from 1 species